rnacentral:rRNA from 1 species
CCUACGGGAGGCAGCAGUGAGGAAUAUUGGUCAAUGGGCGAGAGCCUGAACCAGCCAAGUCGCGUGAGGGAGUACUGCCCUAUGGGUUGUAAACCUCUUUUGUCGGGGAGCAAAAGCCGGACGUGUCCGGCUGUGAGAGUACCCGAAGAAAAAGCAUCGGCUAACUCCGUGCCAGCAGCCGCGGUAAUACGGAGGAUGCGAGCGUUAUCCGGAUUUAUUGGGGUAAAAGGGUGCGCAGGCGGAUUUUUAAGUCAGCGGUCAAAUCGUGGGGCUCAACCCCAUCCAGCCGUUGAAACUGGGGAUCUAGAGUGUGCGAGAGGUAUGCGGAAUGCGUGGUGUAGCGGUGAAAUGCAUAGAUAUCACGCAGAACCCCGAUUGCGAAGGCAGCAUACCGGUGCACAACUGACGCUCAGGCACGAAAGCGUGGGUAUCGAACAGGAUUAGAUACCCGUGUAGUC